GGUUCGGCCCUCGGCAGACUGCUCAGUAACACGUGGAUAAUCUACCCUUAGGUGGAGGAUACUCUCGGGAAACUGAGAAUAAUACUCCAUAGGUCUAGGAUGCUGGAAUGCACCUAGGUUGAAAGUUCCGGCGCCUAAGGACGAGUCUGCGGACUAUCAGGUAGUAGUCAGGGUAAAGACCUGACUAGCCUACGACGGAUACGGGUUGUGAGAGCAAUAGCCCGGAGACGAUAUCUGAGACACGAUAUCGGGCCCUACGGGGCGCAGCAGGCGCGAAAUCUUCACAAUGUGCGAAAGCACGAUGAGGGGAUCCCAAGUGUUGGUUCGUAAGAGUCAUCUGUUUCUUUGUCUAAAAAACAGAGAGAGUAAGAGCUGGGUAAGACGGGUGCCAGCCGCCGCGGUAAUACCUGCAGCUCAAGUGGUGGCCGCUAUUAUUGGGCCUAAAACGUCCGUAGCCGGUUUAGUAAAUGCCUGGGUAAAUUGUGUAGCUCAACUAUACGAAUACCGGGUAGACUGCUAAACUUGGAACCGGGAGAGGCUAGAGGUACUCCUAGGGUAGAGGUGAAAUUCUGUAAUCCUAGGGGGACCACCAGUGGCGAAGGCGUCUAGCUAGAACGGGUUUGACGGUGAGGGACGAAGCCCUGGGGCGCAAACCGGAUUAGAUACCCGGGUAGUCCAGGGUGUAAACGCUGCUCGCUUGAUGUUAGUCGGGCUCCGAGCCCAACUAGUGUCGGUGAGAAGUUGUUAAGCGAGCUGCCUGGGAAGUACGGUCGCAAGGCUGAAACUUAAAGGAAUUGGCGGGGGAGCACAGCAAC
rnacentral:rRNA from 1 species